rnacentral:rRNA from 1 species
UGGGGGUAACUCCUGCUCCAUAAAAAAAAGUGUUAAAUAGCCGCAGUACUUUAACUGUGCUAAGGUAGCAUAAUAAUUUGCUUCUUAAAUAGAAGCUAGAAUAAAAGGAGUGUCGACUCUUUCUCUUUUCCUGAUCCCUAAAUUGAAAUUUAUAUCUGCCUAAAAAAGUGCAGAUUCUUGGGGGGACGACAAGACCCUGUAAAACUUUAAUUCACCUCUUCCUCAUUUAUAAUUUCGGAAUUUCUAAUUAAGGAGUUGAAUUGCGCUGGGGCGGCAACCAAAUUUUAUUUUAACUUUGACAAACAUUAACAUAAAUUUAUGACUUAUUAGAUCUUUCCAAAAGAUUUAGAACAAGUUACUUCAGGGAUAACAGCACAAUUUUUUCCGAUAGGCCUUAUAGAAGAAAAAGACUUGUGACCUCGAUGUUGAAUUGAAGAGCCAUAUUUAAGCAAAAAUAAAUUUAGGGGGUCUGUUCGACCUUUAAUCCUUC